rnacentral:rRNA from 1 species
GAUGCCGCGUGAGUGAAGAAGGCCUUUGGGUUGUAAAGCUCUUUCGUCGGGGAAGAAAAUGACUGUACCCGAAUAAGAAGGUCCGGCUAACUUCGUGCCAGCAGCCGCGGUAAUACGAAGGGACCUAGCGUAGUUCGGAAUUACUGGGCUUAAAGAGUUCGUAGGUGGUUAAAAAAGUUGGUGGUGAAAUCCCAGAGCUUAACCCUGGAACUGCCAUCAAAACUUUUUAACUAGAGUAUGAUAGAGGAAAGCGGAAUUUCUAGUGUAGAGGUGAAAUUCGUAGAUAUUAGAAAGAAUACCAAUUGCGAAGGCAGCUUUCUGGAUCAUUACUGACACUGAGGAACGAAAGCAUGGGUAGCGAAGAGGAUUAGAUACCCUCGUAGUCCAUGCCGUAAACGAUGUGUGCUAGAC